AGAGCACUGUUUGGACGAGGGGCCCCUCUCGGGUUACCGAAUUCAGACAAACUCCGAAUGCCAAUUAAUUUAACUUGGGAGUCAGAACAUGGGUGAUAAGGUCCAUGUUCGAAAGGGAAACAGCCCAGACCACCAGCUAAGGUCCCAAAAUAUAUGUUAAGUGGAAAAGGAUGUGGCGUUGCCCAGACAACUAGGAUGUUGGCUUAGAAGCAGCCAUCAUUUAAAGAGUGCGUAAUAGCUCACUAGUCGAGUGACACUGCGCCGAAAAUGUACCGGGGCUAAACAUAUUACCGAAGCUGUGGAUUGUCCUUUGGACAAUGGUAGGAGAGCGUUCUAAGGGCGUUGAAGCAUGAUCGUAAGGACAUGUGGAGCGCUUAGAAGUGAGAAUGCCGGUGUGAGUAGCGAAAGACGGGUGAGAAUCCCGUCCACCGAUUGACUAAGGUUUCCAGAGGAAGGCUCGUCCGCUCUGGGUUAGUCGGGUCCUAAGCUGAGGCCGACAGGCGUAGGCGAUGGAUAACAGGUUGAUAUUCCUGUACCACCUAUAAUCGUUUUAAUCGAUGGGGGGACGCAGUAGGAUAGGCGAAGCGUGCGAUUGGAUUGCACGUCUAAGCAGUAAGGCUGAGUAUUAGGCAAAUCCGGUACUCGUUAAGGCUGAGCUGUGAUGGGGAGAAGACAUUGUGUCUUCGAGUCGUUGAUUUCACACUGCCGAGAAAAGCCUCUAGAUAGAAAAUAGGUGCCCGUACCGCAAACCGACACAGGUAGUCAAGAUGAGAAUUCUAAGGUGAGCGAGCGAACUCUCGUUAAGGAACUCGGCAAAAUGACCCCGUAACUUCGGGAGAAGGGGUGCUCUUUAGGGUUAACGCCCAGAAGAGCCGCAGUGAAUAGGCCCAAGCGACUGUUUAUCAAAAACACAGGUCUCUGCUAAACCGUAAGGUGAUGUAUAGGGGCUGACGCCUGCCCGGUGCUGGAAGGUUAAGAGGAGUGGUUAGCUUCUGCGAAGCUACGAAUCGAAGCCCCAGUAAACGGCGGCCGUAACUAUAACGGUCCUAAGGUAGCGAAAUUCCUUGUCGGGUAAGUUCCGACCCGCACGAAAGGCGUAACGAUUUGGGCACUGUCUCAACGAGAGACUCGGUGAAAUCAUAGUACCUGUGAAGAUGCAGGUUACCCGCGACAGGACGGAAAGACCCCGUGGAGCUUUACUGUAGCCUGAUAUUGAAAUUCGGCACAGCUUGUACAGGAUAGGUAGGAGCCUUUGAAACGUGAGCGCUAGCUUACGUGGAGGCGCUGGUGGGAUACUACCCUAGCUGUGUUGGCUUUCUAACCCGCACCACUUAUCGUGGUGGGAGACAGUGUCAGGCGGGCAGUUUGACUGGGGCGGUCGCCUCCUAAAAGGUAACGGAGGCGCUCAAAGGUUCCCUCAGAAUGGUUGGAAAUCAUUCAUAGAGUGUAAAGGCAUAAGGGAGCUUGACUGCGAGACCUACAAGUCGAGCAGGGUCGAAAGACGGACUUAGUGAUCCGGUGGUUCCGCAUGGAAGGGCCAUCGCUCAACGGAUAAAAGCUACCCCGGGGAUAACAGGCUUAUCUCCCCCAAGAGUUCACAUCGACGGGGAGGUUUGGCACCUCGAUGUCGGCUCAUCGCAUCCUGGGGCUGUAGUCGGUCCCAAGGGUUGGGCUGUUCGCCCAUUAAAGCGGUACGCGAGCUGGGUUCAGAACGUCGUGAGACAGUUCGGUCCCUAUCCGUCGUGGGCGUAGGAAAUUUGAGAGGAGCUGUCCUUAGUACGAGAGGACCGGGAUGGACAUACCUCUGGUGUACCAGUUGUCGUGCCAACGGCAUAGCUGGGUAGCUAUGUGUGGACGGGAUAAGUGCUGAAAGCAUCUAAGCAUGAAGCCCCCCUCAAGAUGAGAUUUCCCAACUUCGGUUAUAAGAUCCCUCAAAGAUGAUGAGGUUAAUAGGUUCGAGGUGGAAGCAUGGUGACAUGUGGAGCUGACGAAUACUAAUCGAUCGAAGACUUAAUCAA
rnacentral:rRNA from 1 species